rnacentral:tRNA from 1 species
CCCCUUGUAACCCAAUUGGCAGAGGUAGCGGGCUUAAAACCCGUACAGUGUUGGUUCGAGUCCAGCCAAGGGGA